UCAGCCAUCAACGCGGUGAUGGGAGGUCUGGCUCCUACCAACCUUCUGGCCACCCGGAUUGGACCGUGUUAUGCCAAUCCUAGUACGGAAAUAACUGUGUCAGAAAUGAGCCUUAACACGAGGCUGUACGACUCAUCAUUGAGUGGGGAGUUGAAUAUCACCAACGACCUUGAUAGGUGGCUGGGUCAUCAAGGGGAUAAUGCAAAAGUGCCAAGAUAUCCGCAACUUAGAUACUUGCGACUAUUUCAAAACCUUUACAGUUAUAAACAGUGGCUGCGUUGAAGAUGAAGAGAACGAAGAUCAAGAAAUUUACAGUAUGUUUUUCCACCAUGUUCACCCACGGAUGUCAUGUCCUGUAAGAGCGGGCAACUACAAAAUAGUCAACUAUCCCAUAUUCACUGAAGAUAACUAUUUGAUCGUGGCCGAAUCCAAAAUAUCAACCAGCGUUUUUGGUUACACUCUGCGACUUGAAGGUUACUCUUACACUGAAGCGAAUAGGUUACUCUGCGUCGAAGCCUACCUUCAGCUUUUGUACAUCCGAGAAUAUGAAGGGCGUGACGAGAGCCCUAAAGUGACCGCAGAACCCUCCAGUGAAGAAGAACGAGUAGCCAGUGAAGAAGAGGGAGAUGCUAGCGAGGAGUAG